CCUACAAGGUAUGCGCCCUGGUCCCCUUUUGAUCCUCUUGCCCUUUCCUCCUUGCUGGUGGCGUGUCAGGUCCUACGCGAUUUACAACUGUGGAUCUCACAAAUUGUAAGGGGAAAUCAUGGCAAUUGCUGGAUCUGGAGUAUAUGAUCUGUAGGAGGAGCAGUGUUCGUAUAUAGGUUCAUGCCAUUAGGCUAGAAUGGGGAAUUCCCAAUGGUCAACUACAGCCACAACCCGGCUUAGUUAUAGGUGUACUUUUAUUACCCGCCAGCUCAACAACAACUGAACAGUAAACAGGACAGGUAACAGUAAAUCAGACGGUCCAGCGAUGAUGUAAAACGAGGAGCUCAUCGUAGCCGUCAGAUGUUGAUGAAGCUGUAUGUCCCGGAAGAGCUACACCUAACUGAAGAUAGGUGCAGCCUGACAUGGCGUUCUGGUACUCCUCACUGAGAUCCCUCAAGCUACAUCAUUGAUAAUUGAACAUGUAUUUAAUUAGAUAAUUCAGUUAACCAGUGUGCAUCUACUUAAUUCGGUUAUACUAUAUGUACUAAUUCAUGCAAAGAAGGGACUAAUUGUUGACAAACAUACCUGCCAUGCAUAUAUCAUACUAUGCCUUGGAAAAUAAUUUUGUUUUGUGCAUUUUUUAUGCAUGCCAUGCAUAUAUCAUGUGAAUGAUUGAACAAGUUUAGUUAAUAAGAUCUUAUCUGUUGGAGACUUGGAGUCAACUGCACCAGAUUUACAGUAACAAGCGCUAGCUUCUACUAAAAAAAUGAGGUGUUCAUAGUCGCAUAAUGUUUCAUAGAUUCACUACAAAACUGUAAGUUAUGAACUUAUGCUCGCUCAUAUAAAUCUGCUCAUGCACGAAUGUCUGCUGAAUUAAUUAAUAUAAGCUAGCAGCUGCCACGCGUGUACAUGCAUGUUGUUAUCAGCAAUUCAGCAUCGACCUGUCUGAAUAAUGAGCUUGAAUAUAAUCUCGUAAUAAGAACAAAGUGAGUUUACUAAAUGCAUGGUUUAUUUUGCCGACAGAUUAGCACACAGUUAACUUGAUCCACAACAAAAAAUGCGAUGACAUGCAUGUUCGACAAGAAGACGAUCAACACCACUCUCCCUAAACAGAUCGUAAGAUCACACUAAGAGGUAGAAGACCCCAUGCUAGAAAAAAUACAGAUUCAGUUCUUACUUAGGAAGGAACAAUCAACGACAUACUAAUUAACUAGCUGCUGGUAGAUCCAUUUCUCCAAAGUACUCAAAAAAAGAAGUUGUAAUUUGAUGGAAUAAUUAACUAUGUUCUCUUUUAUUUCUCGAAUCAUGUCUGUUCGCACAAGUACUAUGUACACAGGAGCACAUGGUCUAUACUGCUACAAAUUGUGGUUAGCUUUCGAUCUGCUAUUCAAGUUACUGUAUGUACCCUGACCGAGAAGAUAAUUUUUUCAGGCAAGAAGGAUGGUAUGGAAUCGACAGGUGAUCCGGUUAUGUUUAUUUACGUUACAUGUGGUGAAUGAGUAUGAAUCUAUCGUUCAACUUACGUAUCCCUGGACACUAUUCUCUUAUAUAAUGCUUCUUUGUUGAUCAUCCACUAUUAGUCAUCCGUUCACAUUGUCAGGACUCAUGAUCCAGUUAGUUGCGGCUAGAAAUGGCGACUACUGCUUUCUUUUUAAUGAAAUUAGUAACAAUUGAUAAAAAUCUAAAACUAGAUCUUGCUAUUUCUUUUUCCAAACAAAUGAUAAUGAUGUAAUUUUGUGCUAUAAACUAAAUUUAUUGUCCAGAUGAUAAUUCACUUUCCUUUUCACUUUUUGAGGUGAGAUAGAUGGACCGUAAUAGGACUUGUGUUUACUCAUUUUUGUUGUUUUCUUUUCCGUAUGAGUCUUUCUUUUCCAUGUUGAGUCAAAUGCCCUAGAUAUUUUUUUCUUUUACUUUUCAGGUUUCCUGGAACCAAUAGAUGGAGGGGGUGCUAGGGUUGUGUUGGGGUCGGAUGAAUUGCUCUGUCGAAUUUGUUCGCUGUUGUGUAGUAGUAUGUACAACAUAAUUGUAACGGCCCCUUUUUGUUUCAUGAAUUAGAUGUAGUUUUCCGUGCAAAUUAUGUACAACAUAAUUUGCUGUGUAGUAGUAUGUACAACAUAAUUGUAACGGUCCCUUUCGGAUGAAUUGCUCUGGUUGAAUAGAUCGAUUAAAUUUGCUCCUUUACUUUUUAUGUGAAAGAACUCUGGGGUUCUCCCACAUUUAUGCAUAUAUUACUGCUCGUUUGCAUUGGGCUAAUUGAUUUUGACGGCUUGUAGGCAAUGCACGGUAAGAACAACCAAGCUGCUCCAUCUGAGAAACAAGAGUCAGAAGAUGUAGCUACUGUUGCAGAAGAACCUGUCUGUACUGAAGUAGCAGAUGAAACUUGUUCCUAGCAGAUUUGAAAAUUUUGGAGAGCAGAUAGAUUGCAGCAGUACAGCCUAUCGCAUGAUGGAGAAAAGGAGCGUAGAGAAGAACAUUUGGCUUGAGCUGGAACGUGAGGUGCUUCACACCUUAGGGAUUUCAUCUACUGAAUGGACUUAACCAACAAGGACAUAGAAGCACUCUUGGGUGGACAUACUCUG